rnacentral:rRNA from 1 species
UACGUAGGGCGCAAGCGUUGUCCGGAAUUAUUGGGCGUAAAGAGCUCGUAGGCGGUUUGUUGCGUCGGCUGUGAAAACUUCACGCUUAACGUGGAGCCUGCAGUCGAUACGGGCAGACUUGAGUUCGGCAGGGGAGACUGGAAUUCCUGGUGUAGCGGUGAAAUGCGCAGAUAUCAGGAGGAACACCGGUGGCGAAGGCGGGUCUCUGGGCCGAUACUGACGCUGAGGAGCGAAAGCGUGGGGAGCGAACAGG